rnacentral:rRNA from 1 species
AACUAGUACCGUGAGGGAAAGGUGAAAAGAACCCCUAUUAGGGGAGUGAAAUAGAUCCUGAAACUGUAUGCUUACAAACUGUCGAAGCCCCAUGUGGGUGACGACGUACCUUUUGUAUAAUGGGUCAGUGACUUAAUUUAUGUAGCAAGCUUAAGCCGUUUAGGUGUAGGCGUAGCGAAAGCGAGUCUUAAUAGGGCGAUUAGUUGCAUGGAUUAGAACCCGAAACCGAGUGAUCUAGCUAUGAGCAGGUUGAAGGCAAGGUAAUACUUGCUGGAGGACCGAACCAGUUGACGUUGAAAAGUCUUUGGAUGACUUGUUGCUAGGGGUGAAAGGCCAAUCAAACUCGGAGAUAGCUGGUUUUCCGCGAAAACUAUUUAGGUAGUGCGUUGAGAUAUAGAUUUUGAGGGGUAGAGCACUAAAUAGGCUAGGGGGAAGAAAUUCUUACUAAACCUAAUAAAACUCCGAAUACUCAAAAUUGUUCCUCAGCAGACAGACGGUGAAUGCUAACGUCCAUCGUCGAGAGGGAAACAACCCAGACCACCAAUUAAGGUCCCCAAGUUAUGGUUAAGUGUGAAAGGAUGUGAAGACUCCAAAACAGCCGGGAGGUUGGCUUAGAAGCAGCCAUCCUUUAAAGAUAGCGUAACAGCUCACCGGUCUAAUUAAGAGACUUUGCGCCUAAGAUGUAACGGGGCUCAAACCAUACACCGAAAUUGUGGAUUGAUAGAAGUCUUCGGACUUUUAUUUCUGGUAGCGGAACGUUCUGUAAGCCUGUGAAGAGAGACCCGUGAGGGCUCUUGGAGGUAUCAGAAGUGCGAAUGCUGACAUAAGUAACGACAAACAGAGUGAAAGACUCUGUCGCCGAGAGUACAAGGGUUCCUGCGUAAAGUUAAUCUUCGCAGGGUUAGCCGGCCCCUAAGACGAGGACGAAAGUCGUAGUCGAUGGGAAUCAGGUAAAUAUUCCUGAGCCAGGUGGUAGUGACGGAUCAUGUAAAUUGUUAACUCUUAUUGGAUUGAGUUGGCUGUGAAGUGGUCCCAGGAAAUAGCUCCAUCAUAAGACCGUACCCCAAACGGACACACGUGUACCGGUAGAGUAUACCUAGGCGCUUGAGAGAAUGAUGUUGAAGGAACUCGGCAAAAUGCUUCCGUAACUUCGGGAUAAGGAAGACCCUUUUGUAGGCAACUAUGGAAGGGUGGCACAAGCCAGGGAGAAGCGACUGUUUAUCAAAAACACAGGGCUCUGCUAACACGUAAGUGGAUGUAUAGGGUCUGACGCCUGCCCGGUGCUGGAAGGUUAAUGCGGUUGGUGCAAGCUAACUUCUGAAGCCCCAGUAAACGGCGGCCGUAACUAUAACGGUCCUAAGGUAGCGAAAUUCCUUGUCGGGU